UACAUAGGUCACAAGCGUUAUCCGGAAUUACUGGGCGUAAAGGGUCUCUAGGUUGUUAAGCAGGUCUCUGGUCAAAUCUCUCGACUUAAUCGAGAAUCCGCCAGAGAAACUACUUAGCUUACGAGGGUAGCAGGGGCAGAUGGAAUUUUCGGUGUAGCAGUGAAAUGCGUUGAUAUCGAAAAGAACACCAAUGGCGAAGGCAAUCUGCUAGGCUACUCCUGACACUGAAGGACGAAAGCGUGGGGAGCGAAUGGG
rnacentral:rRNA from 1 species